rnacentral:rRNA from 1 species
GAUGAACGCUGGCGGCGUGCCUAAUACAUGCAAGUCGAGCGAACAGACGAGGAGCUUGCUCCUCUGACGUUAGCGGCGGACGGGUGAGUAACACGUGGAUAACCGACCUAUAAGACUGGGAUAACUUCGGGAAACCGGAGCUAAUACCGGAUAAUAGAUUGAACGGCAGGGUUCAAUGGUGAAAGAGGGUUUUGCUGUCACUUAUAGAUGGAUCCGCGCCGCAUUAGCUAGUUGGUAAGGUAACGGCUUACCAAGGCAACGAUGCGUAACCGACCUGAGAGGGUGAUCAGCCACACUGGAACUGAGACACGGUCCAGACUCCUACGGGAGGCAGCAGUAGGGAAUAUUCCGCAAUGGGCGAAAGCCUGACGCAGCAACGCCGCGUGAGUGAUGAAGGUCUUCGGAUCGUAAAACUCUGUUAUUAGGGAAGAACAAAUGUGUAAGUAACUAUGCACGUCUUGACGGUACCUAAUCAGAAAGCCACGGCUAACUACGUG